UAGGGAAUCUUCGGCAAUGGACGGAAGUCUGACCGAGCAACGCCGCGUGAGUGAAGAAGGUUUUCGGAUCGUAAAGCUCUGUUGUUAGAGAAGAACGUUGGUAGGAGUGGAAAAUCUACCAAGUGACGGUAACUAACCAGAAAGGGACGGCUAACUACGUGCCAGCAGCCGCGGUAAUACGUAGGUCCCGAGCGUUGUCCGGAUUUAUUGGGCGUAAAGCGAGCGCAGGCGGUUCUUUAAGUCUGAAGUUAAAGGCAGUGGCUUAACCAUUGUACGCUUUGGAAACUGGAGUACUUGAGUGCAGAAGGGGAGGGUGGAAUUCCAUGUGUAGCGGUGAAAUGCGUAGAUAUAUGGAGGAACACCGGUGGCGAAAGCGGCUCUCUGGUCUGUAACUGACGCUGAGGCUCGAAAGCGUGGGGAGCAAACAGG
rnacentral:rRNA from 1 species